ensembl:lncRNA
GGAUUUUCGAGGAGAAAAUGUGUGAUUUUGGGGUAAAAUGGGAAAUUUUCGAAGAGAAAAUGCGUGAUUUUUGCUUAAAUGCAUGAUGUUUUUUGUUAAAUGGGGGAUUUUUGAGGAGAAAAUGCAUGAUUUACCCUUAAAUUGGGUGUUUUUGAGGAGAAAAUGCGUGAUUUUCCAAAUAAUUGGGGAUUUUUGAAGGGAAAAUGGGUGAUUUUUGGGUUAAAUGGGGGAAUUUUGAAGAGAAAAUGUGUGAUUUUCGGGUUAAAUGGGAGAUUUUCGAAGAGAAAACGGGUGAUUUUCGCUUAUAUGCGUGAUUUUUUAUUUAAAUGUUGGAUUUUCGAAGAGAAAAUGCAUGAUUUUCCCUUAAAUGGGGGGCUUUCGAGGAGAAACUGAGUGAUUUUGGGGUAAAAUGGGAAGUUUUCGAAGAGAAAAGGGGUGAUUUUCCCUUAAAUGGGGGAUUUUUGAAGAGAAAAGGGGUGAUUUUCACUUCAAUGUGGGAUUUUCGAAGAGAAAAUGGGUGAUUUUUGCUUAAAUGGGGCAUUUUCGUCGGGAAAAUGGGUGGUUUUCGAGUUAAAUCUGGGAUUUUUGAAGGGAAAAUGGGUGAUUUUCGGGUUAAAUGGGGGAUUUUUGAAGAGAAAAUGGGUGAGUUUUGCUUAAAUGGGGCAUUUUCGUCGGGAAAAUGGGUGAAUUUCGAGUUAAAUCUGGGAUUUUUUAAGGGAAAAUGGGUGAUUUUCGGAUUAAAUGGGAGAAUUUUGAAGAGAAAAUGGGUGAUUUUGGGGUUAAAUGGGAGAUUUUCGAAGAGAAAACGGGUGAUUUUCAAUUAAAUGCGUGAUUUUUUAGCUAAAUGUUGGAUUUUCGAAGAGAAAAUGCAUGAUUUACCCUUCAAUGGGGGAUUUUCGAGGAGAAAAUGGGUGAUUUUGGGGUAAAAUGGGAAAUUUUCGAAGAGAAAAUGCGUGAUUUUUGCUUAAAUGCAUGAUGUUUUUUGUUAAAUGGGGGAUUUUUGAAGGGAAAAUGCAUGAUUUUCCCUUAAAUGGGGGAUUUUUGAGGAGAAAAUUCGUGAUUGUCCAAAUAAUUGGGGAUUUUUGAAGGGGAAAUGGGUGAUUUUCGGAUUAAAUGGGGGGAUUUUGAAGAGAAAAUGGGUGAUUUUCGGGUUAAAUGUUGGAUUUUUGAAGAGAAAACAGGUGAUUUUCGCUUAAAUGCGUGACUUUUUAGCUAAAUGUUGGAUUUUCGAAGAGAAAAUUCAUGAUUUACCCUUAAAUGGGGGAUUUUCGAGGAGAAAAUGCGUGAUUUUGGGGUAAAAUGGGAAGUUUUCGAAGAGAAACGGGGUGAUUUUCACUUAAAUGGGGGGUUUUUGAAGAGAAAAGGGGUGAUUUUUGCUUAAAUGGGGCAUUUUCGGCGGGAAAAUGGGUGAUUUUCGAGUUAAAUCUGGGAUUUUUGAAGGGAAAAUGGGUGAUUUUCCCUUAAAUGGGGGGUUUUUGAGGAGAAAAUGUGUGAUUUUCCAAAUAAUUGGGGAUUUUUGAAGGGAAAAUGGGUGAUUUUCGAGUUAAAUCUGGGAUUUUUGAAGGGAAAAUGGGUGAUUGUCGGGUUAAAUGGGGGAUUUUCGAAGAGAAAACAGGUGAUUUUCGCUUAAAUGCGUGACUUUUUAGCUAAAUGUUGGAUUUUCGAAGAGAAAAUUCAUGAUUUACCCUUAAAUGGGGGAUUUUCGAGGAGAAAAUGCGUGAUUUUGGGGUAAAAUGGGAAGUUUUCGAAGAGAAACGGGGUGAUUUUCACUUAAAUGGGGGGUUUUUGAAGAGAAAAGGGGUGAUUUUUGCUUAAAUGGGGCAUUUUCGGCGGGAAAAUGGGUGAUUUUCGAGUUAAAUCUGGGAUUUUUGAAGGGAAAAUGGGUGAUUUUCCCUUAAAUGGGGGGUUUUUGAGGAGAAAAUGUGUGAUUUUCCAAAUAAUUGGGGAUUUUUGAAGGGAAAAUGGGUGAUUUUCGAGUUAAAUCUGGGAUUUUUGAAGGGAAAAUGGGUGAUUGUCGGGUUAAAUGGGGGAUUUUCGAAGAGAAAACAGGUGAUUUUCGCUUAAAUGCGUGAUUUUUUAGCUAAAUGUUGGAUUUUUGAAGAGAAAAUGCAUGAUUUACCCUUAAAUGGGGGAUUUUCGAGGAGAAAAUGCGUGAUAUUUGCUUAAAUGGGGCAUUUUCGAAGAGAAAAUGCGUGAUUUUUGCUUAAAUGCAUGAUUUUUUUGUUAAAUGGGGGAUUUUUGAGGAGAAAAUGCAUGAUUUACCCUUAAAUGGGGGAUUUUCAAGGAGAAAAUGCGUGAUUUUCCAAAUAAUUGGAGAUUUUUGAAGGGAAAAUGGGUGAUUUUCGGAUUAAAUGGGGGAAUUUUGAAGAGAAAAUGGGUGAUUUUCGGGUUAAAUGGGGGAUUUUUGAAGAGAAAACGGGUGAUUUUUGCUUACAUGUCUGAUUUUUUAGCUAAAUGUUGGAUUUUCGAAGAGAAAAUGCAUGAUUUACC